UACGUAGGGUGCAAGCGUUGUCCGGAAUUAUUGGGCGUAAAGAGCUCGUAGGCGGUUUGUCGCGUCUGCUGUGAAAACUCGGGGCUUAACCCCGGGCCUGCAGUGGGUACGGGCAGACUAGAGUGCGGUAGGGGAGACUGGAAUUCCUGGUGUAGCGGUGAAAUGCGCAGAUAUCAGGAGGAACACCGGUGGCGAAGGCGGGUUUCUGGGCCGUAACUGACGCUGAGGAGCGAAAGCGUGGGGAGCGAACAGG
rnacentral:rRNA from 1 species